rnacentral:rRNA from 1 species
GGGACCUCAGGUCAGGCGGGGCUACCCGCUUGAGUUUAAGCAUAUCAAU